UACGUAGGGGGCAAGCGUUGUCCGGAUUUAUUGGGCGUAAAGAGCGUGUAGGCGGCCGUACAGGUCAGCUGUGAAAACUCGAGGCUCAACCUCGAGACGUCGGUUGAAACCGUACGGCUAGAGUCCGGAAGAGGAGAGUGGAAUUCCCGGUGUAGCGGUGAAAUGCGCAGAUAUCGGGAAGAACACCCGUGGCGAAGGCGGCUCUCUGGGACGGUACUGACACUGAGGAGCGAAAGCGUGGGUAGCAAACAGG
rnacentral:rRNA from 1 species